CUCUUCAAUAAUCCUAGAAAUUAAAUAGUUGUUGCAUAAUGCACUAUUUCCAUGUCAUCUAACUUAAUUUAUUAUAUAUUGCCUCAUUGUUAUAUACUUCGUAUAUGAUAUGAUUGUUGCACAAAAAUACCAAUAAAUAUUUAUAGAUUAUGGCUGGAUACUGAAUGGAAAAAGACUGAAAGAGGAUGUUUAGAGAUUAGUCAGAAAACCAAAAUAUUUGGCAGUGAAACCAAAACUGUUUGAAGCAAAAACAGUGAACAUCAGUAGAUAGAUUUUAAGCCAUUCACCUUUCGGUAUCCAUUCAGAUGUAAAGACUAAAGAAGUGUUCUCUAUUGGAUGCUUAAUCUUCAAGAAAUUGUCUUCUUCCUCGCGAAUGCUUUCCCAGCGCUGUAUGCAUCUCCACCAUUUUUGUCUACUCUCCAUCUUCAUGAAAUGUUUUCUUAGUUGUGAGGACUUAUUUAUAGUAUUAGAAACUGUUGUGUAUUUAAUGUUAGUAUUGAGAAUUCCAAAAGUUGUUUCAGUUGCUUUCA